ensembl:snoRNA SNORA73 Small nucleolar RNA SNORA73 family
CCAAUGUGGGUACCUGAUGAGGUCACUCCCUUGGACACUGUCCAGGAGGCACACAGCAAUAUAGGGCUCCGCACUAAAAUGUGCAACCCUUUUCCACACUAUGGGAGAUGAAGCUGGACCUCAAGUGUGCACCUGUAUAUUUCUAUAGCUUCUCAGAAUUUUCUGGACCCUGACUGAGGAGACAAGCCAAUUUUCAAAA